rnacentral:rRNA from 1 species
UACGUAGGGUGCGAGCGUUAAUCGGAAUUACUGGGCGUAAAGCGUGCGCAGGCGGUUCGUUGUGUCGGCGGUGAAAGCCCCGGGCUUAACCUGGGAAUGGCCGUCGAAACUGGCGAACUGGAGUGUGGCAGAGGGGGGUGGAAUUCCGCGUGUAGCAGUGAAAUGCGUAGAGAUCGGGAGGAACAUCAGUGGCGAAGGCGGCCAUCUGGGACAACACUGACGCUGAAGCACGAAAGCGUGGGGAGCAAACAGG